AGAGCGAACGCUGGCGGCAGGCCUAACACAUGCAAGUCGAACGGACUCUUCGGAGUUAGUGGCGGACGGGUGAGUAACACGUGGGAACGUGCCUUUAGGUUCGGAAUAGCUCCUGGAAACGGGUGGUAAUACCGAAUGUGCCCUUCGGGGGAAAGAUUUAUCGCCUUUAGAGCGGCCCGCGUCUGAUUAGCUUGUUGGUGAGGUAAUGGCUCACCAAGGCUACGAUCAGUAGCUGGUCUGAGAGGAUGACCAGCCACAUUGGGACUGAGACACGGCCCAAACUCCUACGGAGGCAGCAGUGGGGAAUCUUGCGCAAUGGGCAAAGCCUGACGCAGCCAUGCCGCGUGUAUGAUGAAGGUCUUAGGAUUGUAAAAUACUUUCACCGGUUGAAGAUAAUGACUGUAGCCGGAAGAAGAAGCCCGCUAACUCGUGCCAGCAGCCGC
rnacentral:rRNA from 1 species